UGGGGAAUAUUGGACAAUGGGCGAAAGCCUGAUCCAGCGACGCCGCGUGGGUGAAGAAGGCCUGCGGGUUGUAAAGCCCUUUCGGUGGGGAAGAAAAGCCUCGAGUUAACACCUCGGGGUCUUGACGUAACCCAUAGAAGAAGCACCGGCUAACUCUGUGCCAGCAGCCGCGGUAAUACAGAGGGUGCGAGCGUUGAUCGGAAUUACUGGGCGUAAAGCGCGCGUAGGCGGCUUUGCAAGUCGGGUGUGAAAUCCCCAGGCUUAACCUGGGAACUGCAUUCGAGACUGCAUUGCUAGAGUAUGGGAGAGGGAAGUGGAAUUUCCGGUGUAGCGGUGAAAUGCGUAGAUAUCGGAAGGAACAUCAGUGGCGAAAGCGACUUCCUGGACCAAUACUGACGCUCAUGUGCGAAAGCGUGGGGGAGCAAACAGGAUUAGAUACCCUGGUAGUCCACGCCAUAAACGAUGAGAACUGGAUGUCGGGAGGGUCUGCCUCUCGG
rnacentral:rRNA from 1 species